rnacentral:rRNA from 1 species
GAUGAACGCUGGCGGCGUGCCUAAUACAUGCAAGUCGAGCGAACGGACGAGAAGCUUGCUUCUCUGAUGUUAGCGGCGGACGGGUGAGUAACACGUGGAUAACCUACCUAUAAGACUGGGAUAACUUCGGGAAACCGUAGCUAAUACCGGAUAAUAUUUUGAACCGCAUGGUUCAAAAGUGAAAGACGGUCUUGCUGUCACUUAUAGAUGGAUCCGCGCUGCAUUAGCUAGUUGGUAAGGUAACGGCUUACCAAGGCAACGAUGCAUAGCCGACCUGAGAGGGUGAUCGGCCACACUGGAACUGAGACACGGUCCAGACUCCUACGGGAGGCAGCAGUAGGGAAUCUUCCGCAAUGGGCGAAAGCAUGACGGAGCAACGCCGCGUGAGUGAUGAAGGUCUUCGGAUCGGAAAACUCUGUUAUUAGGGAAGAACAUAUGUGUAAGUAACUGUGCACAUCUUGACGGUACCUAAUCAGAAAGCCACGGCUAACUACGUG